ACACUGAAGUGACAAAAUAAGACAUUUGAACUUACUGAGGAAAGGUCAUCUGCAGUCAUAACAUUUAUUUUAUUAAUCAUAAUCUGAAUUAGGGGGCUCAGAAUGGAGCUUUGAGGAACUCCACAUUUGAUUUGUCUGCUCAAAUAUGAAGUUACCUCCUGAUGCUGUGUUCACAUCCAACACGAUUUAUUAACUUCGGGGAAAACCAAAAUGGAUUUCAAUGCCGAAUAAUACAAAAUCAGACAUUUGAACUGAAGUGAUGGAGGCAAUAGUGGAUCAACAACUCCUGUCUGCUGUGAUCACUGAUAAAUCACUGAUUUUCUCUAUGGGGUUUGGUGUGGGAGAGCGAGGGGUUUACAAACUUCAGUGACUUUCACUGAUGUGAAAGUCACUGCAAAGGUAAAAACAUGGCUGCCUGUUGUGCUUGAGCUCUAGACUCACACACACAGUGACAUUUGUAACAAAUGUAAACUCUCUCCCUUUUACAGAAUAAGAGGAGGAAUAUUCUAAUCAGUAUUUUUGCCGUAGGGGUCUUUUGUCAUAAUUGUUGAGGUUGCUUUGUGUGUUUUGUUCUUUCCUUCAGGUUCUGGCUUAAUGAGUAAAUUAUCUAUCAGGAGUGAAUUUUAGUGAAAAUUUGAACAAGCGGGCAAAAUGUAAUCACUUCUGUCUCAGUGUUGGUAAAGAUAAUUUAUAUGUUCUUUCUUUUUAAGGCCACGACAUAACAGCGAUAACUGGGAAGACGUGUAAAAUAAUAAAUUCAUUAACAGAUUCUGAAGCAUAUUUGAAUGCAGCAUUGCGACUCGGCCGCGGGAAACGUGCUGCUCACAGCUAAUGAAGCACACGGAUUUGGAGAAGAUGGAAAGAAAGAAAAGAAAAGGGAUGGAAGUGUGGACAGAUCAAAGGAACGUGAGCGGCCCGGGUCAGCAGAGGAGUGGGCGGAGCCAGCAGGGAUGGAUGCAGGCGAGGUCGGAGAAGAGGCGACGGACAGACAAGGCCCAUUAACUCAGCAAGAGCAGCUGACCAGAGAAAAGGCAUGUUUUAAUUGCUGAUGUGUAAAAAUUUAAUUGAUGUCAAAUUGGUGCAAGGUGAUUGUGUCCAACCCUGGAUUUUACACUGUGGGACAUCUGGAGAAAACAGCAGCACAAUGUCCUCAACUGUCGGAUAAAACACGGAAAAAAAACAAAGACAGAACCAAGAAUUAAUGAAAACAGUUCACAUGGGACUGUUUUAUUUAAGGGAUUUCCCAAUAAUUGCUGCCAUCGGCCGGAAUCUGCUGCGUCUUUCACUUUCACCAAAGUCAUAGAGAAAAUAAGUGAUUUUAGCUCGUGGGGACACAGGAGCUGCUGGUCUAUUGCUGCCUCGUGUGGUCACUUUGUGUCACUGAGGUCAAUCUGAACAAAGGAUUUCAAAUGCAGAAUAAUACAAAAUAAGACAUUUGAAUUUAGUGAUAGAGGCAGCAGUGGAUCAACAACUCCUGUGUGCUGUGAUGUUAAAAUCACUGAUUUUCUCUAUGGGGUUUGGUGUGGGAGAGUGAGUGGUUUCAUAAAGAUAUUGUAGAGUUAGAUAUCGUAGAUUUUAUGAUGCAAGUCUUUUGUUAAUUGGUUAAAAUCAGGGUUUUUUUUUCUUCUGGCAGCCAUGUUUUCCCUGGGAGUGAACAAGGUUGUCUUAACGCUGUUUCAUGUUGCAGGGGAUCAAUAGGGGGCGCUACCAUCUCAAUCAGCUUUGACUAUGUGUCAGUGCCUCAUAUUACAACCACAUUUUUUAUUUAUUUUUUGAUAUAUCUCUUUAAGUCUGAAGCUCAGCUAACAUGUUUGAAGUAAUAAUAAAACAAUGGAAUAUGGUUUUAUGUUACGCUCAUGGGGCACAACAUUGAUUUCUCUGAGCUAUACUUACUCAGCCGCAUCCACAAAGAGAUGAUGUAGUGACAUUUAUACAGUGUACUCAUGAGGCUCACACACAUACACAUGCACACAGUCUGAAUGUGUUUAUUCAGAGCAAUCGCUGGAAGAAAUGUGCUUUUUCUUCUCAAUCUAGAAAUAAACAUGAUGUGAUAAAAAUGAU